rnacentral:rRNA from 1 species
AGAGUUUGAUCAUGGCUCAGAUUGAACGCUGGCGGCAUGCCUUACACAUGCAAGUCGAACGGCAGCGCGGACUUCGGUCUGGCGGCGAGUGGCGAACGGGUGAGUAAUGUAUCGGAACGUACCUUUCAGUGGGGGAUAACGUAGCGAAAGUUACGCUAAUACCGCAUAUUCUGUGAGCAGGAAAGCAGGGGAUCGCAAGACCUUGCGCUGAUUGAGCGGCCGAUAUCAGAUUAGCUAGUUGGUGAGGUAAAGGCUCACCAAGGCGACGAUCUGUAGCGGGUCUGAGAGGAUGAUCCGCCACACUGGAACUGAGACACGGUCCAGACUCCUACGGGAGGCAGCAGUGGGGAAUUUUGGACAAUGGGGGCAACCCUGAUCCAGCCAUGCCGCGUGAGUGAAGAAGGCCUUCGGGUUGUAAAGCUCUUUCGGCCGGGAAGAAAUCGUACGGGUUAAUACCCUGUGCGGAUGACGGUACCGGCAUAAGAAGCACCGGCUAACUACGUGCCAGCAGCCGCGGUAAUACGUAGGGUGCGAGCGUUAAUCGGAAUUACUGGGCGUAAAGCGUGCGCAGGCGGUUUUGUAAGACAGGCGUGAAAUCCCCGGGCUCAACCUGGGAACUGCGCUUGUGACUGCAAGGCUAGAGUAUGGCAGAGGGGGGUGGAAUUCCACGUGUAGCAGUGAAAUGCGUAGAGAUGUGGAGGAACACCAAUGGCGAAGGCAGCCCCCUGGGCCAAUACUGACGCUCAUGCACGAAAGCGUGGGUAGCAAACAGGAUUAGAUACCCUGGUAGUCCACGCCCU